UUGCAGGCAAUUUAGUCAACUGGGUUCUUCCCUCUACGGGACCCAGUACGUGAUGGUUGCAAACAGCAUCCUUCUUGGUGCCAUAUGUAGCCUAUUGUUGUGUGGGUUCCCCUAUGUGACCUUGGAGAAAGCC